CGAGCAGGAAGGGAAAAGGAGUAACUCCGUCUUUUGGAGAUGGCCUCGCGUCCGAUUAGCUAGUUGGUGAGGUAACGGCCCACCAAGGCGACGAUCAGUAGCCGGCCUGAGAGGGUGAACGGCCACAUUGGGACUGAGACACGGCCCAAACUCCUACGGGAGGCAGCAGUGGGGAAUAUUGCACAAUGGGGGAAACCCUGAUGCAGCGACGCCGCGUGAGCGAAGAAGUAUUUCGGUAUGUAAAGCUCUAUCAGCAGGGAAGAAAAUGACGGUACCUGACUAAGAAGCCCCGGCUAACUACGUG
rnacentral:rRNA from 1 species